rnacentral:rRNA from 1 species
CAAUAUGAGAGUUUGAUCCUGGCUCAGAAUGAACGUUGGCGGCACGCCUAAUACAUGCAAGUCGAACGCGAUCUUCGGAUCGAGUGGCGGACGGGUGAGUAAUACAUGGGAAUCUACCGAGAAGUGGGGAAUAACUAUUGGAAACAGUAGCUAAUACCGCAUAAUCCACAUUGGGAAAGCUUUAGCGCUUUUCGAUGAGCCCAUGUCUGAUUAGCUUGUUGGUGAGGUAAGAGCUCACCAAGGCGACGAUCAGUAGCUGGUUUGAGAGGAUGAUCAGCCACACUGGGACUGAGACACGGCCCAGACUCCUACGGGAG